UACGAAGGGUGCAAGCGUUAAUCGGAAUUACUGGGCGUAAAGCGUGCGUAGGCGGUUAUUUAAGUCUGUUGUGAAAUCCCCGGGCUCAACCUGGGAAUGGCAUUUGGGACUGCAAGGCUGGAGUGCGGCAGAGGAGACUGGAAUUCCUGGUGUAGCAGUGAAAUGCGUAGAUAUCAGGAGGAACACCGAUGGCGAAGGCAGGUCUCUGGGCUGACACUGACGCUCAUGCACGAAAGCGUGGGGAGCGAACAGG
rnacentral:rRNA from 1 species